UAGCAUUCCUUCAAACCAUCCCUGCCCGCUAACGGACGUAGGGCGCGGCGAUCGCAGCAACCCCAUGACCGUUGGACAGGAGAGACGGUCAUUCUUAUCGAGGGACCACGAGAUCAUAGAGGAAAAUUAAUCCCUCCGCUCGCACAGCAUUCCGCAUCCGAGAGCACGAGCGCCUUCACGUGGGCCAAAGCAGCCAAAUAGGCAUGCUGGGCACACGAGAGCCGCUGCGUGGUUCAUCCCACGCCUCCGACGAGGCAUAAGAAGAAAAUUUUUCGGCAACAAAAUYGAAUUCCGCUAUGUGGGUAUGCAACACAGGAGCCCAUGCCUGCCCGAGAGAGCUACAAGCCUUCGGGACACGACUGAGUGGCCUCGAGUUAAACAGUUCGAUGCACUAGCACAGAGCCUGCCAACCCCGAYGACC
rnacentral:misc_RNA from 1 species